CUACGGGAGGCAGCAGUGAGGAAUAUUGGUCAAUGGGCGCAAGCCUGAACCAGCAAUGCCGCGUGUGGGAUGACGGGGCUCUGCCUUGUAAACCACUGUCGGACGGGACGAAAAGGGAUAUCAAUCCCCGGGACGGUACCGUCAAAGGAAGGGUCGGCUAACUACGUGCCAGCAGCCGCGGUAAUACGUAGGACCCGAGCGUUGUCCGGAUUCACUGGGUAUAAAGGGUGCGUAGGCGGCCUUGUGCGUCAGGGGUGAAAUCUCCGGGCUUAACCCGGAGGGUGCCUUUGAUACGGCGAGGCUUGAGUACGAGAGAGGAUGAUGGAAUUCCUGGUGUAGCGGUGAAAUGCGUAGAUAUCAGGAGGAACACCGGUGGCGAAGGCGGUCAUCUGGCUCGUAACUGACGCUGAGGCACGAAAGCGCGGGGAUCAAACAGGAUUAGAUACCCUGGUAGUCC
rnacentral:rRNA from 1 species